CGAUAAAUCGACCGCUGGGGAGUACGGCCGCAAGGUUAAAACUCAAAUGAAUUGACGGGGGCCCGCACAGCGGUGGAGCAUGUGGUUUAUUUCGAUGCAACGCGAAGAACCUUACCUGGCCUUGACAUCCACGGAAUUUGGCAGAGAUGCCUUAGUGCCUUCGGGAACCGUGAGACAGGUGCUGCAUGGCUGUCGUCAGCUCGUGUUGUGAAAUGUUGGGUUAAGUCCCGCAACGAGCGCAACCCUUAUCCUUUGUUGCCAGCGAUACGGUCGGGAACUCAAAGGAGACUGCCGGUGAUAAACCGGAGGAAGGUGGGGAUGACGUCAAGUCAUCAUGGCCCUUACGGCCAGGGCUACACACGUGCUACAAUGGCGCAUACAAAGAGAAGCGACCUCGCGAGAGCAAGCGGACCUCAUAAAGUGCGUCGUAGUCCGGAUCGGAGUCUGCAACUCGACUCCGUGAAGUCGGAAUCGCUAGUAAUCGUAGAUCAGAAUGCUACGGUGAAUACGUUCCCGGGCCUUGUACACACCGCCCGUCACACCAUGGGAGUGGGUUGCAAAAGAAGUAGGUAGCUUAACCUUCGGGAGGGCGCUUACCACUUUGUGAUUCAUGACUGGGGUGAAGUCGUAACAAGGUAACCAAGGGCGAAUUCUG
rnacentral:rRNA from 1 species